GAUGAACGCUGGCGGCGUGCCUAAUACAUGCAAGUCGAGCGAACAGACGAGGAGCUUACUCCUCUGACGUUAGCGGCGGACGGGUGAGUAACACGUGGAUAACCUACCUAUAAGACUGGGAUAACUUCGGGAAACCGGAGCUAAUACCGGAUAACAUGUUGAACCGCAUGGUUCAACAGUGAAAGACGGUCUUGCUGUCACUUAUAGAUGGAUCCGCGUCGCAUUAGCUAGUUGGUAAGGUAACGGCUUACCAAGGCAACGAUGCGUAGCCGACCUGAGAGGGUGAUCGGCCACACUGGAACUUAGACACGGUCCAGACUCCUACGGGAGGCAGCAGUAGGGAAUCUUCCGCAAUGGGCGAAAGCCUGACGGAGCAACGCCGCGUGAGUGAAGAAGGUCUUCGGAUCGUAAAACUCUGUUAUUAGGGAAGAACAAAUGUGUAAGUAACUAUGCACGUCUUGACGGUACCUAAUCAGAAAGCCACGGCUAACUACGUG
rnacentral:rRNA from 1 species